UUGUACUGUAAGCUCAUUUUCAAAAGCUAGAACUCUUUUGUUUUCAUUUCUUCAAUAUGUCUAUGGAUGAUGUAAGGCUUAGAAUUGAAUUGAAUCAAGAAAAUUGUGAUGCCUCUAACAACAAUGUAUGUGCUUAUGAUAUAGUGGGGAAGAGGAUUCAAGGAAUCUGCAUUACUUUCCCAAUGACAGACCAUAAAUAACUGCCAUAAAAUAUAGUUGUCUUGAUAUUAUUUUAAUGGUUUGCUCUUGGUGAAGAAACAUAUGAUUAGAAUAUAGUAUUAAUUUGUCUGAAAAUAAGCAAUCAAAGCUCCAUCAUUAUCUAUGCAACACAGAGUUUGCACAGUUGGCAGCUCCAUGAGACCUUGUGAAGAAUGAGGAACGAGGCGAGAUUCAACGUGCAUUUCUUCUAAUAAAGAUCACGGAGCAAAGAAAAUUUAUGUUGGAUCUUGUAUUCAAACAGAAGAGGAUGUAAAGAAACUAGCUGCCACUGAAGCCUUAUUUGCUUAUUAGAAUGAACUGGAAAAAAAAACUGGUAGAUUCACCUUUGGAAUCGAAAACCCUCAAACAUGGCCAUUAGCAGUUGGACUUGGAGCUCCUAAGACCUCAGUUUCACCAUUGUCAUCAACGAGGGAUAGUAAACGGCCUCAAAUGCACCGAUGAUUUGCUUUUUUCGCCUUGUACACGUUGGAUCAUUAUCAACAAAGUUGAGAAAAUAUUGAAUGGUUGCUUGCAGCUCGGUUUGAAGAUCUAGUCUGGCUGUUGUGAAAAUGAUCAAGGAAGAAAUACAAGUCCACGAGUUCAUGUAUCACUUGAAAAUUUGUGGUGUUGAAUCUUUUAGUCUCAUUUCAGUCCCUGCUAGACUUACUUAGGCUUGAGAUGAUUUCUGUAAAUGUCGAAGACAUCAGUUUAGAUAGUAUUUUAGAGCUCAGUUAUCUUGUAGUUGUUGAUUUGAUAGUCAUGUAGCUGUUGAUUUUAUAUAUAAUGAGGGAGAGAAUAUUAUUACAAACUGAAUAAGAUAAUAUUAGAACUUUGUUAGUA